rnacentral:rRNA from 1 species
UGCGUAGGCGGAUAUGUAAGUCAGAUGUGAAAACACUAGGCUCAACUUAGUGAUUGCAUUUGAAACUAUGUAUCUUGAGUGCAGGAGAGGAAAGCGGAAUUCCUAGUGUAGCGGUGAAAUGCGUAGAUAUUAGGAGGAACACCAGUGGCGAAGGCGGCUUUCUGGACUGUAACUGACGCUGAGGGCACGAAAGUGUGGGGAGCAAACAGGAUUAGAUACCCUGGUAGUCCACACUGUAAACGAUGGAUACUAGGUGUAGGGGGUAUCGACUCCCUCUGUGCCGGAGUUAACACAAUAAGUAUCCCACCUGGGGAGUACGGCCGCAAGGUUGAA